AGUGAACGCUGGCGGUAGGCCUAACACAUGCAAGUCGAACGGCAGCACAGUAAGAGCUUGCUCUUACGGGUGGCGAGUGGCGGACGGGUGAGGAAUACAUAGGAAUCUACUUUUUCGUGGGGGAUAACGUAGGGAAACUUACGCUAAUACAGCAUACGACCUACGGGUGAAAGCAGGGGAUCUUCGGACCUUGCGCGAUUGAAUGAGCCGAUGUCGGAUUAGCUAGUUGGCGGGGUAAAGGCCCACCAAGGCGACGCUCCGUAGCUGGUCUGAGAGGAUGAUCAGCCACACUGGAACUGAGACACGGUCCAGACUCCUACGGGAGGCAGCAGUGGGGAAUAUUGGACAAUGGGCGCAAGCCUGAUCCAGCCAUACCGCGUGGGUGAAGAAGGCCUUCGGGUUGUAAAGCCCUGUUGUUGGGAAAGAAAAGCAGCAGAUUAAUACCCCGCUGUUCUGACGGUACCCAAAGAAUAAGCACCGGCUAACUUCGUG
rnacentral:rRNA from 1 species